rnacentral:rRNA from 1 species
GACGAACGCUGGCGGCGUGCCUAAUACAUGCAAGUAGAACGCACAGUUUAUACCGUAGCUUGCUACACCAUAGACUGUGAGUUGCGAACGGGUGAGUAACGCGUAGGUAACCUGCCUGGUAGCGGGGGAUAACUAUUGGAAACGAUAGCUAGUACCGCAUAAUAUUAAUUAUUGCAUGAUAAUUAAUUGAAAGGAGCAAUUGCACCACUACCAGAUGGACCUGCGCUGUAUUAGCUAGUAGGUGAGGUAACGGCUCACCUAGGCGACGAUACAUAGCCGACCUGAGAGGGUGAUCGGCCACCCUGGGACGGAGACACGGCCCCGACCCCUACGGGAGGCAGCAGUCGGGAAACUUCGGCAAUGGCCGAAAGUCUGACCGCGCAACGCCGCGUGAGUGCAGUAGGUUUUCGGAUCGUAAAGCUCUGUUGUACGAGAAGAACGGGUGUGAGAGUGGAAAGUUCACACUGUGACGGUAUCUUACCAGAAGGGGACGGCUAACUACGUG